rnacentral:rRNA from 1 species
UACGUAGGUGACAAGCGUUAUCCGGAAUUACUGGGCGUAAAGCGCACGCAGGCGGCGCAUUAAGUCUGACGUGAAAUCUCCUGGCUUAACUGGGAGGGGUCGUUGGAGACUGAUGUGCUUGAGGCGAUGAGAGGGGUGUAGAAUUCCCGGUGUAGUGGUGGAAUGCGUAGAUAUCGGGAGGAACACCAGUGGCGAAGGCGGCUCACUGGCCCGGUACUGACGCUGAGGUGCGAAAGCGUGGGGAGCAAACAGG